rnacentral:rRNA from 1 species
GACGAACGCUGGCGGCGUGCUUAACACAUGCAAGUCGAACGAAGUGGCGAACGGGUGAGUAACGCGUAAUCAACCUGCCCUUCAGAGGGGGACAACAGUUGGAAACGACUGCUAAUACCGCAUACUGAAGGAGGGGAUUGCGUCUGAUUAGCGAGUUGGAGGGGUAACGGCCCACCAAGGCGAUGCUGAGUAGCCGGGCUGAGGAGAAGGACGGCCACAAUGGGACUGGGACAAGGCCCAGGCUGCUAAGGGAGGGAGCAGUGGGGGAUCUUCCGCAAUGGAGGGAAGUCUGACGGAGCAACGCCGGGUGGGUGGAGACGGCCUUCGGGUUGUAAAGCUCUGUUAAUCGGGACGCGGUACCGGAAUAGAAAGCCACGGCUAACUACGUGCCAGCAGCCGCGGUAAUAC